UGGGGAAUAUUGGACAAUGGGCGAAAGCCUGAUCCAGCCAUGCCGCGUGUGUGAAGAAGGUCUUCGGAUUGUAAAGCACUUUAAGUUGGGAGGAAGGGCAGUAAGCGAAUACCUUGCUGUUUUGACGUUACCGACAGAAUAAGCACCGGCUAACUCUGUGCCAGCAGCCGCGGUAAUACAGAGGGUGCAAGCGUUAAUCGGAAUUACUGGGCGUAAAGCGCGCGUAGGUGGUUCGUUAAGUUGAAUGUGAAAGCCCCGGGCUCAACCUGGGAACGGCAUCCAAAGGUGGCGAGCUAGAGGAGGGCAGAGGGUGGUGGAAGUUCCUGUGUAGCGGUGAAAUGCGUAGAUAUAGGAAGGAACACCAGUGGCGAAGGCGACCACCUGGGCUCAUACUGACACUGAGGUGCGAAAGCGUGGGGAGCAAACAGG
rnacentral:rRNA from 1 species